rnacentral:tRNA from 15 species
CGGGGCGUGGCGCAGCCUGGUAGCGCACCUGCUUUGGGAGCAGGGAGUCGGAGGUUCAAAUCCUCUCGCCCCGACCA